UACGUAGGGUCCGAGCGUUUGUCCGGAAUUACUGGGCGUAAAGAGCUCGUAGGUGGUUUGUCGCGUUGUUCGUGAAAACUCACAGCUCAACUGUGGGCGUGCGGGCGAUACGGGCAGACUUGAGUACUGCAGGGGAGACUGGAAUUCCUGGUGUAGCGGUGGAAUGCGCAGAUAUCAGGAGGAACACCGGUGGCGAAGGCGGGGUCUCUGGGCAGUAACUGACGCUGAGGAGCGAAAGCGUGGGGAGCGAACAGG
rnacentral:rRNA from 1 species